rnacentral:rRNA from 2 species
UGGGGAAUAUUGCACAAUGGAGGAAACUCUGAUGCAGCGACGCCGCGUGAGUGAUGAAGGUUUUCGGAUCGUAAAACUCUGUCCUAAGGGAAGAUAAUGACGGUACCUUAGGAGGAAGCCCCGGCUAACUACGUGCCAGCAGCCGCGGUAAUACGUAGGGGGCGAGCGUUAUCCGGAUUUAUUGGGCGUAAAGGGUACGCAGGUGGCUUUAUAAGUCAGGUGUGAAAGGCAGUGGCUCAACCAUUGCAAGCACUUGAAACUGUAAGGCUUGAGUACUGGAGAGGAAAGUGGAAUUCCUAGUGUAGCGGUGAAAUGCGUAGAUAUUAGGAGGAACACCAGUGGCGAAGGCGACUUUCUGGACAGAUACUGACACUGAGGUACGAAAGCGUGGGGAGCAAACA